rnacentral:rRNA from 1 species
AAGGUAAGCCGGAGAGGGUGACAGCCCCGUACGAGUAGAAAAGCUGACUGUUCUUGAGUAAGGCGGAGCACGAGAAAUUCUGUCUGAAAAUGGGGAGACCACUCUCCAAGGCUAAGUACUACUGAUUGACCGAUAGUGAACAAGUACCGUGAGGGAAAGGUGAAAAGCACCCCUAUAAGGGGAGUGAAAGAGAACCUGAAACCGGAUGCCUACAAGCAGUCGGAGGGUCUAUAAGGCCUGACGGCGUACCUUUUGUAUAAUGGGUCAGCGACUUAAUUUAUGUAGCAAGCUUAAGCCGAUAGGUGUAGGCGUAGAGAAAUCGAGUGUUAACAGCGCGUUAAGUUACAUGAAUUAGACCCGAAACCGAGUGAUCUAGCCAUGAUCAGGUUGAAGGUUGGGUAACACCAACUGGAGGACCGAACCCACUCCCGUUGAAAAGGUAGGGGAUGAAUUGUGGCUAGGGGUGAAAGGCCAAUCAAACUCGGAAAUAGCUGGUUCUCCGCGAAAACUAUUUAGGUAGUGCGGUGAGCGGACACCUUGAGGGGUAGAGCACUGGAAGAGCUAAGGGGGAGCGAUCCUUACUAAACUUUACCAAACUCCGAAUACUCAAGAGUGAUACUCACCAGACAGACAUUAGGUGCUAAGGUCUAGUGUCGAGAGGGAAAGAGCCCAGACCGCCAAUUAAGGUCCCAAAAUUAUGGCUAAGUGGUAAAGGAAGUGAAACGUCCAAAACAGUCAGGAGGUUGGCUUAGAAGCAGCCAUCCUUUAAAGAAAGCGUAAUAGCUCACUGAUCUAAACAAGACGUCUUGCGCCGAAGAUGUAACGGGGCUAAAGCCAUAUACCGAAGUUGCGGAUUUACACGUUAAAGUGUAAGUGGUAGCGGAGCGUUCUGUAAGCCUGCGAAGGUGUACCGUAAGGUAUGCUGGAGGUAUCAGAAGUGAGAAUGCUGACAUGAGUAGCGAAAAGAAGAGUGAGAGACUCUUCCGCUGAAAGUCCAAGGUUUCCUGCGUAAAGCUAAUCUGCGCAGGGUUAGUCGGUCCCUAAGGCGAGGCAGAGAUGCGUAGUCGAUGGCAAUCAGGUUAAUAUUCCUGAACCGGCCCGGAAGUGACGGAUUGAGUAAAUUGUAAGUUCUUAUUGGAUUGAGCUUGCAGUGAAUCAGUCCCAGGAAAUAGCCCGGGCUAAGACCGUACCCGAAACCGACACAGGUGGACAGGUAGAGAAUACCAAAGCGCUUGAGAGAACUAUGUUGAAGGAACUAGGCAAAAUACUUGCGUAACUUCGGGAUAAGCAAGCCCCAUUUUAAGGCAACUUAGGGUGGGGGGCACAUACUAGGGGGUAGCGACUGUUUACUAAAAACACAGGGCUCUGCUAAAUUGAAAGAUGAAGUAUAGGGUCUGACGCCUGCCCGGUGCUGGAAGGUUAAGGAGAGAUGUGCAAGCAUUGAACUGAAGCCCCAGUAAACGGCGGCCGUAACUAUAACGGUCCUAAGGUAGCGAAAUUCCUUGUCGGGUAAGUUCCGACCUGCACGAAUGGCGUAACGACUUCCCCGCUGUCUCCAACAUAGGCUCAGCGAAAUUGAACUCUGAGUUAAGAUGCUCAGUACCCGCGGUUAGACGGAAAGACCCCGUGAACCUUUACUAUAGCUUUGCAGUGGUAUUAGGUAACAAAUGUGUAGAAUAGGUGGGAUGCUAUGAAGCUACGACGCCAGUUGUAGUGGAGCAGACUUUGAAAUACCACCCUUUUGUUGUUUGAUAUCUAACCUGCUCCCGUUAUCCGGGAGAGGGACCCUGCAUGGUGGGUAGUUUGACUGGGGCGGUCGCCUCCCAAAGAGUAACGGAGGCGCGCAAAGGUUGGCUCAGAUUGGUCAGAAAUCAAUCGUCGAGUGCAAUGGCAUAAGCCAGCCUGACUGCGAGAGAGACAUUUCGAGCAGAUACGAAAGUAGG